UGGGGAAUCUUCCGCAAUGGACGAAAGUCUGACGGAGCAACGCCGCGUGAGUGAUGACGGUCUUCGGAUUGUAAAGCUCUGUUAAUCGGGACGAAUGGUUUGUGUGCAAAUAGUGCAUAGACAUGACGGUACCGGAAUAGAAAGCCACGGCUAACUACGUGCCAGCAGCCGCGGUAAUACGUAGGUGGCAAGCGUUGUCCGGAAUUAUUGGGCGUAAAGCGCGCGCAGGCGGACUAGCCAGUCAGUCUUAAAAGUUCGGGGCUUAACCCCGUGAUGGGAUUGAAACUACUAGUCUAGAGUAUCGGAGAGGAAAGUGGAAUUCCUAGUGUAGCGGUGAAAUGCGUAGAGAUAUGGAGGAACACCAGUGGCGAAGGCGACUUUCUGGUCUGUAACUGACGCUGAUGUGCGAAAGCGUGGGGAUCAAACAGG
rnacentral:rRNA from 1 species